CAUUUAAGACAGCUCUGUCGGCGGAGCAUGAGACUAUUAAUCUCAGGGUUGUGGGUUCAAGCCCCACCUUGGUGG